rnacentral:rRNA from 1 species
AGAAUCAACGCUGGCGGCGUGCCUCAGACAUGCAAGUCGAACGCGAAGUGAAUUCUUCGGAAGACACUUUGAGUGGCGCACGGGUGAGUAACACGUGGGCAAUCUACCUUUGGGUGGGGAAUAUCAGCUGGAAACGGCUGUUAAUACCGCAUAAAGCAAUUGAGUCUUCGGACCGUCAGUUGUUAAAGCGUGGGACCUAGCUUUCGGGUUAGCCAUGCGCCAGAAGAGGAGCCCGCGGCGGAUUAGCUAGUUGGUGAGGUAACGGCUCACCAAGGCCGUGAUCC